ACUUAUAGCCGAUUGAAGCGAUCGAUCUUCCCCCAAUCAAUAACAGCUUCUAAUGGAGGUGUACGUGCCACGUAAUUAAAGACCACGUAUUAGCAACCGUAUCAUGACCACACUGUAGAGGGACAAAAAUUUUUGUCACCCCCCCCCCCCCCCCUCUCUCCUCAUUUUCUCUCUCUAUUUUUUGUGUUUCCUCCGUUUGCAGGGUUAGGGCCGGGGAGAGAACACCUUCGCUCUCCUUUUCUGUAUCCAAUUCUCUCUAAUCCGUGUACAAAACCAUGGUCUGUGAGAAAGUAUCAAUGCAGUCAAACCUUGAUUGUUUCCUCCAUUGCACAACCCUCGUUGUCGCAUCCCAAUCGCUUCCCUUCCCAAGAUACGAAGACGUCGAUGAACAAGGAGGACAACGGAUGAUGGUGUGUGGCGGUCUGGAGGGCAACAAUGCAUUGAAUCUGGAUGGUGUUUAUGAGACUGAUGGUCUGAAGAGAUCUCUUGGUCCGGAAGUGCAAUGGUCUGUAGGGGUGCCCUAGUUUAGAGCUCCUGUGUGGGUAUGAAGGUCGAAAGGCUUGUGGAGGUGUGGGUAGAGUGGAUGAGCGAGCUGUUUGUUUUCAGAAGAAAAUAGAUCACACGAGUUUCUUUAGUUUUGAUUUUACUAUCAUGUGAUGCCGCUUAUGUGACUUCUAUAUGGAUUGCUGAUGUGUUAUUAGUUUAUUUAUGACCGUUAAAUGCAUGAGAGCGAAGCUUCCGUUCCAAAGAGUAUGUGAUAUGUGUAUAUAUAUUGAUAGUCAACUUGUAAAGACAAGGAGGAUAGACGGUGGUAAAUUCUAGCUA